GCGGCAGCGUGGCUAAGCCGCUUUUGAAGCCACCAACCACAAUUGACAAGCGUGCCCCUCCAAUGCAUUGCUCUGCCCUGAUCCUGCACAUCAAAGUCGCCUCGCCGACCGCCCGCACCUUCGCUCUCUCAGUCAGUCAGUCAGUCAGUCAGUCAGUCAGUCCAGUCACUUGCCUAACGGUCGCUGUCGUAAUGUGCGUGCAAGAUGGAUUUUCGGUGCUCCGUGGGUGUGGCUUAUUUUAAAGCAAUUAAAUCCACAGUGAAGCGUGUCUUCUUCGGCUGCCAUCGACAUCUCUCUGAUGUACGAGGACACUUUGGACUAUUGUCAGUCCGCCUUUCAUCUCGGCGGCAAACAGAUCAUUUGAGAUAAGGAUAUCCCAGCCAUAGAAUUGAUUGGUUGCACCGCAAGAGACGCUCACAAAACGAACCAAACUAUGAUUGAAAUUUAACGGCUGCAAGUUAUAACAGGAAUAACAGCAAGGAAGGUACAAUAAAAACUUUGAAAUGGUUAAAUGCAUUUUUAGUGCAUUCUUUCCGCAAGGAUUUCAAUAAAGCUGCCCGACCAAAGCAACAAAUAAAUACAAUAAAAUUGUAGCUUAAUAGGAGUCGAUUUUAUGGGCAAUGGGCAAGAUAUAAAGGUAUCUCAAGGUAUCAGCCACGAUUCUGUUAAAGUAGAUCCUUAAAAUUCCAUUCCAACUCCAUUAAAUGCUUUUUGUUCUUUUACUUCUACAGGUCCUGCCGGAGAUGGAGGCCCCAAGAGCCAAGCGUGGUUUCUUUCCACAAAUCUGGCCUAUGAGGUGGCUGCCAGCUAUGUCAAUGCCCAAUGGCUGCAUCUGGGCUGCUGCUUGGUACUGCUGCUGGAUAACGAUUGCUUUCAUUUCAGCCAGCAGCGGAAGCUGAGCCACCAGAUGAUCCUAUACUGCACCACACUGGCCUCGGUACCGACAUGGAUGGAUGCGCCAUUUUAUGGCGAAUAAACGCCCUAGAGCUCUGAGGAGGUGCAUGUCCUGGCCCACAAUGCCCAAGUAUUGUCAGCUAGCAGAUUGAGCUGCAAGAAGCAAGCUUUCAUCUGGCAACUCGAACUUCAGUGUCGAUAUUGUGAUAAGCUCUGCGCUGAAAAGCUCUCCAAUGCCCGCAGAAGAUCAAUGAAGGCUGGUGGCUCGUUAUUGGUGACCAUUUGCUUGCUCUCCAUCAAACGCCUACGUUCCAGCAGAAGGCCAAGCAGUCAAUCUGGAGUUUGUGGCCCCCAUGAGCGAUUCCCAUUUGGGCUGCGAUCGGGAGUACAAUGUCUCCAUCGAUGUGGCGGGUUUGCAGGCUAAGAUUGACAUAAAUCACAUACAUAUGUACAUGCAUGUAAA